rnacentral:rRNA from 1 species
UACGUAGGUGACAAGCGUUGUCCGGAUUUACUGGGCGUAAAGAGCGCGCAGGCGGUCGUUCAAGUCGAGUGUGAAAGCCCCCGGCUCAACUGGGGAGGGUCAUUCGAUACUGUUCGACUCGAAGGCAGGAGAGGGAAGCGGAAUUCCCGGUGUAGUGGUGAAAUGCGUAGAUAUCGGGAGGAACACCAGUGGCGAAGGCGGCUUCCUGGCCUGUUCUUGACGCUGAGGCGCGAAAGCUAGGGGAGCAAACGGG